AGUCUGGGAUCGAGGCUGUGUCAAGAUCAUGAAAUUCUUAGUGUUAGUCGCCUUUGUUGGUGUGGCUGUUGCCUUCCCCAUCAGUGAUGAGGAUGAUGACAAGAUUGUGGGAGGCUACAGCUGUGCAAGGAGUGCCGCACCCUACCAGGUGUCUCUGAAUUCUGGAUGUCACUUCUGUGGAGGCUGUCUCAUCAGCCACACUCAGCUCCUACAUCAACACAGUUCCUCUGCCUACCAGCUGUGUGACCGCUGGAACAACGUGCCUGAUCUCUGGAUGGGGCAACACACUCAGCAGUGGCUCUCUGUAUCCAGAUGUCCUGCAGUGCCUGAAUGCCCCUGUACUCUCCUCAAGCCAGUGCAGCAGUGCUUAUCCUGGAAGAAUUACCAGUAACAUGAUAUGUAUAGGAUACCUGAAUGGAGGAAAAGACUCCUGCCAGGGGGAUUCCGGUGGUCCAGUAGUCUGCAAUGGUCAGCUUCAGGGUAUUGUUUCCUGGGGCUUUGGAUGUGCACAAAAAGGUUAUCCUGGUGUUUACACUAAGGUUUGCAAUUAUGUUUCCUGGAUUAAAACGACUAUGUCUUCCAAUUGAGACACUCAUUUUACGUGACCUGCUUUUCCUCCUCCUCAUUUCCUUCUGCUUUGGAAUUGGAUGUACACACCUUCACAAAAAAUAAACAUUUUCAGGCAGCCCUUCUUUGUGCAGUUCCUCCGGUUACUUCCAUGGGUUAUUACAUGGGGAACACAGACAAGUAAUAUCACUAUCUCUCUCUCUCUCUAUUUAUCUAAUACUUGUAGUGUCUCUCAACUAGAAGAAUCUUGGAACGCUUUCUAGCCUCAACUUCAGAAGUCCUUCAGCCAGUUAUGUACAAGCAUGCUGGAGGAGGAGAUAUUUUCUGUUUAUAAUCAUAUAGUCAAAUGCUACACAUCUACAUAAAACAGCUGAAGGAGCGUGGUGAACUACAGAGGCAACACACUUCUAUUACAGAAAACAGCAGGCAGCAAAUCAAACGCUCCCGAUCACCCCUAACCCACAGUCAUAUGACUGAACAUUUCCUAGUGCAAAAUCACUGAAAGCUCUACCUGGGGAAUGAAGGCAAGUUCUUGCUAGGGCUUGUUCUCUUAAUGUACCAGUACUGUGACCUACCAAGGCUAUUUUACUAAAUUGCUGGGGCUGCUGUCCAUACCAUUUUGCUCAUUGGACAUGCUGGGCUUUCUUAGUUUUCCUGGAACAGUCAAAAGAACAGAGGUGUUCCUGAGCUUUGGUUUUGCAUCCUGUUGUCCCAGUCUGCCCCAAGAGAGUCCAUGAAAAAACUGCCAAAGUUGCCCAGGAGCUGUGCAGUUGUCUCCCGGGGAAAAGAAAAAAAGAAA